AGCCCCAUAUGCAACAGAAACUUCCCAGUGUUAUCACAACAGGUCAUGACGCGGCUCGCUGUGCAGUUUGACAACCAGCAUCGAGCUCAGUACCUCCGGCUUGCAAAGCUGCUUCCUGGGGUAUCAACUGAUAGGCCUGUCUCUCCUGGCCCUCUUCCCCCAGGAAAAUGCAGGGAAAAGCUUCAGUUAUUGACACAACUGUUUUUCUACCAGUGCGUGAAUUCUUUGAACCCUUCUGGACUAAGAAACCCAGUGGGACGCUGUUCCCUCCCCUUAACAACAGGGCCGUAAGAAGUGUUGUAAGACAAUUUAGGGAAACAGCUGACUAGACAGAGGGUUCAAGCUAAUAAAAACUAAUUCCAAACAGGCCAAUGAAAAGGUAGGACAAGAAAAAUGGCUUGGGACCUCACUCCCCUGGAAAUGUGGGACACCUGCAUCUUUAAUCUGCUGCUGCAUGAGCAAUGUAAUCGGCAGAAAAAGGGAAUCCUGCAUCAGUUUUUCUGUGGAUUAAUAGGCUGGGAGAACUGGGUUUGUUCAGCCUUGAGAAAAGGAGGCUCAGAGGGGAUCUCAUCCCUGUGUACCAGUACUUAAGGGGUAGCUACAAAGAAGAUGGAGACUCCCUUUUUACACGGAGUCACAUGGAGAGGACAAGGGGGAAUGGACACAAGUUGCUCCUGGGGAGAUUCCGAUUGGACACAAGAGAAAUUUUUCACAGUGAGGACAGUCAAGCAUUGGAACAAUCUCCCCAGGGAAGUGGUUGCCUCGGCCACGUUGGACACCUUCAAGAGUCGUCUGGACAGGGUGCUGGGCCAUCUUGUCUAGACUGUGCUCUUCCUAGAAAGGUUGGAGUAGAUGAUCCCUGAGGUCCCUUCCAACCUGGGGUUCUGUAAUUUUUGUUGCCCUAAUACACUGUUGUGUUUAUGCAGAACAUGCACACGUUCAUUAUGUCAUCAUACAGCAUUACGUCAUUGUGUUUGUAGGACUAAGGUGACAAUUCUGCCCAAAUCUCUGUGCAUAAUACUUCUUACACAUGAUGUCUCUUGAGAGCUGAAUCCAGGCAAUAGGAAACUGAGCCAGGAAAGGAUACCACAUGUAUUUUAGAUUAAGUUCUUUUUUUUAAGCAUAAAGGCUGAACAACCUGUCCCUUUUAAUGUAUGUACAUUGCUGGAAUCUAACAAUAACUAAAUGAUCAUCAUAUUACUGGAAACAUUUUAAAAAUUAUUUUCUAUCUAUUAAAACUGACUCUUCCCUG